AAAUAGUGUCAGUGGGCUCCGCUUAGCCAAAUAUAGGUUAUCACAACACACCGACUCUCUCCAUCUCUCUCUGGAUUGUACCAUCGCAGGGAUGAAUUUUAACUUGUGCGAUGAAAGCAGGAGAUGAAUACUUCAUCUGUGACCCACAUAAUGGCGAUAUAUCAGGCUCGGUAAGCGGAGCCCUGUCGUUUUAUUGCCCGCUCCUCCGCUGUGCGCUCCCCGCUGCUGCGGGAGCUUCUGCCAGCGGUCCUCGCCUCCCAUCUUUCUCCGCCUGGGAUCCGAUUCAUCUCCUUUCUCCAUCUCUCCCCCCAGAAAGAGGAGAGGAAGGAGAAGGAGAAGCGGCGCAAACGAGAGCGAGAGAGAGGGGCAUCAGAAACGGGUAUAAGUACCUGAAUUGCAGUGAGGGGAAAUCAUCUGGGGUCUCCUUCCUGGGAUUCCAACCUGAAGGGCCUAGCGUGAGGCAGCAGACCAUCCCCAGGGAAGAAGAGUUCAGCUUGGUCUUUAACUGAUCCGACACUCCCACUGCUUACCUCCGCCUCACCCUUCCAAUAAAGAACCUCCUCUUCACCCUGGGGCCCUGACUUAACAUUCUUCCAGCUCUCUCACGCCUCCAUCUUCUUCAGUUUCCCUUGAUCAAUCCACCCCCAAACCUUCCCGGACGCUAGGCCCUCCUCCUCCUCCCUGUUCUCUCCCCUCACUGGGUGAGUCUCUCCUGGGGCACUGAGGUCAUGGCGGUACCUGCAGCCCACGAGUUUCACUGGCAGAACCUGGCACGACUGCCCAGCGGCCGAGUCUACCACACGCUUUCUGAGGUGGGGGGGCAGAUGUACAUGCUGGGGGGCUGUGACUCUGCAGGGAGGCCUUGCCCUGGCAUGGAGCUCUAUUCUCCUGAGGGGGAUCGGUGGAUAAGUUUGCCCCCAAUGCCCACCGCUCGUGCUGGGGCAGCUGUGGCGGUUCUUGGAAAGCAGAUCCUGGUGGUGGGAGGAGUUGGAGAGGACCAGAGCCCCCUGAAGGUGGUUGAGAUGUACAACACAGAGGAAGGGAGAUGGAGGAAGAGGAGUGCUCUGCGAGAGGCCCUGAUGGGUGUAUCCAUCACUGUGAAAGAUGGACGGGCUCUGGCUGUGGGGGGAAUGGGUGCUGACCUCCUCCCUCGUAGCAUCCUGCAGCAGUAUGACCUUCGAAAGGAUGUGUGGGCACUGCUUCCUCCCAUGCCAACCCCACGCUACGAUGCCAACAUACAUCUGCUGGGCAACAAACUCUAUGUGGCAGGUGGCCGUCAGUGUAAGAGACCGGUGAAGGCCUUUGAAGUGUACGAUGCAGAGAUACGCUCUUGGACAACGCUACCCAUGAUGCCCUGUAAACGUUCAUAUGGUGGUGUGAUAUGGGACACAGCAGGGAGGCUGUGUCUGCUUGGAGGACUGCGUCAGGGAGGAGGACACCAGAGCUCCAAGUUCACCAAGAAUGUCAACAUUUUUGACACUAACCAAGGUGCCUGGUUGAAGUCGGAAGAGACAGUGGCGCUGAAAACAAAGAGAGCUGACUUUGCUGCUGCCUUCCUGCGUGGCCGGAUGGUAGUAGCAGGGGGACUUGGUCAUGAGCCCUCAGCACUGGACACAGUGGAGGCCUUUCAUCCUCAAAGGAGGAAGUGGGAGAAGUUGGCUCCUAUGACCUUCCCCCGAUGCUCCGCCUCCUCCAUUGUCAUCAGAGACCGCCUCCUGGUGGUGGGAGGAGUCAACCAGGUGCCAUUAAAAUGAAUGAACAUGAUCUGUGCAUAACUCAACAGCUCCCCCUGGUGGAGAAUUCAGCCCACUGGGUUCCCAGCUCAGCCCAUGAGAUCCUCUAUGUAAAAGAAGAAGAGUAUCUGUAGCCUGUAGUGACUGACACCAGAUGAGCACAUCAGAUCAGAUUCCACCUCCUCUUCUCUGUACAACAAUCCUGAAUCAGACUGUAGUGCAAUAUGUAGGAAGCAUUGAAAACACUGACAGAGAUCCUGACUUUGCCAUGUCAUGUAACAGAUAACACUGCCCCCUGCUGGGCUGUACUGACACUGAGACCCACAUGCAAAGACAAAGAUGCACAAUGGAGGAGCUGGCUCUCUCUUUAUACCAAGUUAUGUUUCUUGAUACUUUUAGUAUGUAAGACUUAUGCAUUGUACGUUGUAGUGCAUACUUGGAAAAGAGGAUAUUUUGUAGCUAUUAUGUCUAGUAAUGUAGACAGAAUAUAAAUGGUGGACCCCCACAGGAGAUUUAUAUGUAGUUUGAUAACAUGACAUGCAAUAUAACAUAGCAACAACAGUAAUUAAAAAUGGGGAAUGUUUGCUAGUAAAGUGUAUUGUAACAAAAUUUACACUGAAGCAAUUAACACUAAGUGUGAUUUGACUUUAUCAUCAAUAAUUUCUAGUGUAAUGUAUUGUCGUAAUUACACUGAGAAUGCUGUAGUAUCACUCUUCUGUGCUGUAACAGUGCACAUUUGUGAUUAUUAUCAUAGAUCUGUUUCAAUACAUUACAUAUAUGAAAAGAAAAGUAUUAGAUGACAAUAUGUGUUUGUUUGAUUGUGUGAUUACUUGCGUGAGUGCUGGUGUAGGCAAAGCAGAAGGUUUUGUUUGAUUCUGACAGAGUGUACACAUUUUAUUCCUAAAGCAAUACAAUUACUCUUUUUUUUUCAAUGUUUCAUUUGUGCAACAUGUGUUAUGUAGUAAUAAUCAUCACUUAAUAACAUUUCACUCAGGUUGUGAUGUUACAGAUUUGUUUUUGUGACUUCAAAGUUAUUCUACUAACUGGUAUUAUGUCUGCUGUCAUCAUAGCCAACACCUAACAUCUUGUCUCUUUGGCUCAGAUGAAUAAGCUGUGGAAUAUUUUCAUUGUGUAAAGAGUUUUUCUUCAGAUAAUUUUAUUUUAUCCUACAAUAUGAUCAAGUUUUGUCCAACACCCAUUCAUGUUAUGUAAUAUGGAUAUGAGUCAUAGUCAUAUUCAGUGGAAUAAAUGGGAUCUGAGGCUUGUAUUGCA